UACGUAGGGGGCUAGCGUUGUCCGGAUUUAUUGGGCGUAAAGAGCGUGUAGGCGGCCAAGUAGGUCCGUUGUGAAAACUGGAGGCUUAACCUCCAGCUGUCGAUGGAAACCAUUUGGCUAGAGUCCGGAAGAGGAGAGUGGAAUUCCUGGUGUAGCGGUGAAAUGCGCAGAUAUCAGGAGGAACACCCGUAGCGAAGGCGGCACUCUGGGCCGGAACUGACGCUGAGGAGCGAAAGCGUGGGGAGCGAACAGG
rnacentral:rRNA from 1 species